GACGAACGCUGGCGGCGUGCUUAACACAUGCAAGUCGAACGGAAAGGCCCUGCUUUUGUUGGGUGCUCGAGUGGCGAACGGGUGAGUAACACGUGAGUAACCUGCCCUUGACUUUGGGAUAACUUCAGGAAACUGGGGCUAAUACCGGAUAGGAGCUCCUGCUGCAUGGUGGGGGUUGGAAAGUUUCGGCGGUUGGGGAUGGACUCGCGGCUUAUCAGCUUGUUGGUGGGGUAGUGGCUUACCAAGGCUUUGACGGGUAGCCGGCCUGAGAGGGUGACCGGCCACAUUGGGACUGAGAUACGGACCAGACGCCUACGGGAGGCAGCAGUGGGGAAUAUUGCACAAUGGGCGGAAGCCUGAUGCAGCAACGCCGCGUGCGGGAUGACGGCCUUCGGGUUGUAAACCGCUUUCGCCUGUGACGAAGCGUGAGUGACGGUAAUGGGUAAAGAAGCACCGGCUAACUACGUG
rnacentral:rRNA from 1 species